rfam:Flavobacterium fryxellicola strain DSM 16209 FBFR06, whole genome shotgun sequence.
UUUUAGCCCUGAUAGCAGUGGAAAUCCUUUUUUCUCGUUUCUUUAACGAGAAAAAAGAUUGCAACGAAUAGCAGGAAAUAGC